rnacentral:rRNA from 1 species
UACGUAGGGUGCAAGCGUUAAUCGGAAUUACUGGGCGUAAAGCGUGCGCAGGCGGUUAUGUAAGACAGUUGUGAAAUCCCCGGGCUCAACCUGGGAACUGCAUCCGAGACUGCAUUGCUAGAGUAUGGGAGAGGGAAGCGGAAUUUCUGGUGUAGCAGUGAAAUGCGUAGAUAUCAGAAGGAACAUCAGUGGCGAAGGCGGCUUCCUGGACCAAUACUGACGAUCAGGUGCGAAAGCGUGGGGAGCAAACAGG